rnacentral:rRNA from 1 species
CGCCCUGAUGGAUAAGAGCUGAAAGCAUCUAAGCUCGAAGCCACCCCAAAGACGAGACACCUCAGAACACUCGUAAAAGACGAGAUUAAUAGAAUGCGGAUGUAAGCACGAAGGUUUUCCGACGUGUUCAGUCCAGCAUCACUAACGUUCGAGCAUCUUUUUUC